rnacentral:rRNA from 1 species
AUUGAACGCUGGCGGCAGGCUUAACACAUGCAAGUCGAGCGGGGUGAUGGUGCUUGCACUAUCACUUAGCGGCGGACGGGUGAGUAAUGCUUAGGAAUCUGCCUAUUAGUGGGGGACAACAUCUCGAAAGGGAUGCUAAUACCGCAUACGUCCUACGGGAGAAAGCAGGGGAUCACUUGUGACCUUGCGCUAAUAGAUGAGCCUAAGUCGGAUUUGCUAGUUGGUGGGGUAAAGGCCUACCAAGGCGACGAUCUGUAGCGGGUCUGAGAGGAUGAUCAGCCACACUGGGACUGAGACACGGCCCAGACUCCUACGGGAGGCAGCAGGGGGGAAUAUUGGACAAUGGGGGGAACCCUGAUCCAGCCAUGCCGCGUGUGUGAAGAAGGCCUUGUGGUUGUAAAGCACUUUAAGCGAGGAGGAGGCUCUUUUGGUUAAUACCCAAGAUGAGUGGACGUUACUCGCAGAAUAAGCACCGGCUAACUCUGUGCCAGCCGCCGCCGUAA